rnacentral:rRNA from 1 species
AUGAUCAUCGAUGACAACUGUGUUCUUGUCCCUCCUUCAAACAUCGGGACCCAUCUUGGCCGCCUGCUAGAUCACGCUGAUGGGACAGAUGUGUCAUUCAUCGUUGACAAUGAGACAUUCCAGGCUCACCGAGCAGUGCUUGCUGCCCGCUCGCCGGUCUUCAGAGCAGAGCUCUUCGGCCCCAUGUCUGAAGCUACAAUGCCAUCCAUCACACUGCACGACAUCACACCUGCAACAUUCAAAGUUAUGCUCCGGUUCAUAUACACAGAUGAAUUGCCCCUAGAAGACGAGCUUGAGGACUCUUCCACCGAGAUGUUCCAGAACCUGCUUGCUGCGGCCGAUCGGUAUGCACUGGACAGACUGAAGAUUGUUUGCGCCCAGAAGUUGUGGGAUAAAGUGUCGGUAGAUACAGUUGCAACUAUCUUAGCUUGGGCUGAAACCUACAACUGCCAGGAGUUGAAGAACAGGUGCAUUGACUUCUUUGUGGUGGAGGAAAAUUUCAAGAAGGCCAUCUUCACCGAUGGUUAUGCGUUGCUGGUUCUGAAAUUCCCAGAGAUCAUUGCUGAGAUGAAAAAGAGGGUUUAG